AUUGAACGCUGGCGGCGUGCUUAACACAUGCAAGUCGAUCGGUAACAGGUGUAGCAAUACAUGCUGACGAGAGGCGGACGGGUGAGUAAUGCUUGGGAAUCUGCCUAUUAGUGGGGGACAACCCGGGGAAACUCGGGCUAAUACCGCAUACGCUCUACGGAGGAAAGCCGGGGACCGCAAGGCCUGGCGCUAAUAGAUGAGCCCAAGUCGGAUUAGCUAGUUGGUAGGUAACGGCCUACCAAGGCGACAAUCCGUAGCUGGUCUGAGAGGACGACCAGCCACA
rnacentral:rRNA from 1 species